rfam:Picea glauca, whole genome shotgun sequence.
GGGUGUGAUCAUACCAACAUUAAUGCACCAGAUCCCAUCAGAACUCCAUAGUUUAGCACGCUUGGGCUAGAGUAGUACUAGGAUUUGUGACCUCCUAGGAAGUCAUAGUGUUGCACCCU